rnacentral:rRNA from 1 species
UUCGCCCUUAGAGUUUGAUCCUGGCUCAGAACGAACGCUGGCGGCAGGCUUAACACAUGCAAGUCGAACGCCCCUUUCGGGGGGAGUGGCAGACGGGUGAGUAACACGUGGGAACGUACCUCUUUGUUCGGAAUAACUCAUGGAAACGUGAGCUAAUACCGGAUACGCCCUUUUGGGGAAAGAUUUAUCGCAGAGAGAUCGGCCCGCGUCUGAUUAGCUAGUUGGUGAGGUAAUGGCUCACCAAGGCGACGAUCAGUAGCUGGUCUGAGAGGAUGAUCAGCCACACUGGGACUGAGACACGGCCCAGACUCCUACGGGAGGCAGCAGUGGGGAAUAUUGGACAAUGGGGGCAACCCUGAUCCAGCCAUGCCGCGUGAGUGAUGAAGGCCUUAGGGUUGUAAAGCUCUUUUAUCCGGGAAGAUAAUGACUGUACCGGAAGAAUAAGCCCCGGCUAACUUCGUGCCAGCAGCCGCGGUAAUACGAAGGGGGCUAGCGCUGUUCGGAAUCACUGGGCGUAAAGGGCGCGUAGGCGGACGAUUAAGUCAGGGGUGAAAUCCCGGGGCUCAACCUCGGAAUUGCCCUUGAUACUGGUUGUCUUGAGAUUGGAAGAGGUAAGUGGAAUUGCGAGUGUAGAGGUGAAAUUCGUAGAUAUUCGCAAGAACACCGGUGGCGAAGGCGACUUACUGGUCCAUAUCUGACGCUGAGGCGCGAAAGCGUGGGGAGCAAACAGGAUUAGAUACCCUGGUAGUCCACGCCGUAAAC